CCAAUAGCGUAUAUUAAAGUUGUUGCAGUUAAAAAGCUCGUAGUUGAAUUUCGGGGUCAGUAGGUUGGUCGUGCCACCGGUACGUACUGGUCUCACUGAUUCCUCCUUCCUGAUGAGCUGUAAUGCCAUUAAUUUGGUGUUGCAGGGAAUCUGGACUGUUACUUUGAAAAAAUUAGAGUGUUUAAAGCAGGCUAACGCUUGAAUACAUUAGCAUGGAAUAAUGAAAUAGGACGUUCGAUCCUAUUUUGUUGGUUUCUAGGAUUGACGUAAUGAUUAAUAGGGAUAGUUGGGGGCAUUAGUAUUCAAUUGUCAGAGGUGAAAUUCUUGGAUUUAUUGAAGACUAACUACUGCGAAAGCAUUUGCCAAGGAUGUUUUCAUUAAUCAAGAACGAAAGUUAGGGGAUCGAAGACGAUCAGAUACCGUCGUAGUCUUAACCAUAAACUAUGCCGACUAGGGAUCGGAUGAUGUUAAUUUUUUAAUGACUCAUUCGGCGCCUUACG
rnacentral:ncRNA from 2 species